ACUCCAAACUCUAUUUUUCCAGCUAUCUUUACUCUCCUCUACUCCAACUCACUUUCCUCUGCUCUCAUAUUCCUUUUGAUUAGAGGGAGAAUGGCUAUUCAGGACCGGCCCCUACCUUCCCUCAGGAGCCAUUUCUGUUCUGCACAGGCCUGCCGAGCUGGACACUUUAUACAACACUGUCAUCUCUGGAGCAUCCACCUUGCAGGCCGAGGACCCCAAAGGAGGGCGAGGCUCUCUGCACACUCCGAUUGAUGACGUGAAGAACCUGGUGGACCAUACAUGUUGGGAGGAUAAGAGUGGGAUUUCAGUGGAGUGAAGUUCAGGAGGCGUGGAGCUGACACCGUGGCUUCAGCAGCCCCAACGGGAGCAGCCAGAGUAGCUCUGACUUAGACAUAAAAACACCAGUG